rnacentral:rRNA from 1 species
GACGGAGGGUGCUAGCGUUGUUCGGAAUUACUGGGCGUAAAGGGCUCGUAGGCGGCCAACUAAGUCAGACGUGAAAUCCCUCGGCUUAACCGGGGAACUGCGUCUGAUACUGGAUGGCUUGAGUUUGGGAGAGGGAUGCGGAAUUCCAGGUGUAGCGGUGAAAUGCGUAGAUAUCUGGAGGAACACCGGUGGCGAAGGCGGCAUCCUGGACCAACACUGACGCUGAGUGAGCGAAAGCCAGGGGAGCAAACGGG